UCCUGGCUGGCUCAGUUGGGAGAGUGUGCGACUCUAGAUCUUGAGGUCAUGAGUUCGAGCCCCAUGUUGGGUA
rnacentral:tRNA from 1 species